CAGCACUCCCCCGUUGAGUGAUGAAGGCUUUCGAGUCGUAAAGCUCUUUGAUCAGGGAUGAUAAUGACAGUACCUGAAAAACAAGCCACGGCUAGCUACAUGCCAGCAGCCGCGGUAAUACGUAGGUGGCGAGCGUUGUCCGGAAUUACUGGGCGUAAAGGAUGCGUAGGUGGAUAUUUAAGUGGGAUGUGAAAUCCCCGGGCUCAACCCGGGAACUGCAUUCCAAACUGGAUAUCUGGAGUGCAGGAUAGGAAAGCGGAAUUCCUAGUGUAGCGGUGAAAUGCGUAGAUAUGAGGAGGAACACCAGUGGCGAAGGCGGCUUUCUGGACUGUAACUGACACUGAGGCAUGAAAGCGUGGGUAGCAGACAGGAUUAGAUACCCUGGUAGUCCACGCCGUAAACGAUGGGUACUAGGUGUAGGAGGUAUCGACCCCUUCUGUGCCGUCGUUAACACAAUACGUACCCCGCCUGGGGAGUACGGUCGCUAGACUAAAACUCAAAGAAAUUGACGGUCAUAUGAAUUGACGGG
rnacentral:rRNA from 1 species